GCUGGGUGUGGUGGCACACACCUGUAAUCCCAGUGACUCAGGAGGCUGAGACAGGAGGAUUGCCAAGUCCAAGGUGAGCCUCAGAAACUUAGUGAGACACUGUUUCAA
rnacentral:sRNA from 1 species